rnacentral:rRNA from 1 species
UGGUGGAGUGAUUUGUCUGCUUAAUUGCGAUAACGAACGAGACCUUAACCUGCUAAAUAGUUAGUCUUACCGCCUGGUAGGACGUCAACUUCUUAGAGGGACUGUCAAAGCUAAUUUGACGGAAGUUUGAGGCAAUAACA